ACAUAGAAUAUGCCCCAUAAAGGCUGCCUUAUCAAGCCUUCCCAGACAUUAUCAUUGCCUUUUCAAUAAGAUGCCACUAGCUGUGGCUAAGGGGAUUGAGAAGAUCCGGAGAGACUUCCUUCGGGAAGGGCGUGAAGAGGGUGACAAAUUUCAUCUUGUCAAUUUGAAGGUGGUUCAAAGCCAAAAAAAGAAGGGGGUUCUUGGUUUGAGAAGAAUUGGUGAAUAAAAUUGGAUUCUUCUUACAAAAUGGUGGUGGUGGUUUGGUGAUGAGAUGGAAGCAUUGUAGUGAGAUCAUUUUCAAGAAAUAGUAUGACUGCAGUUGGCAACUUAUUCCCUAGUUGUAAUAUGGGUCCCAUGGGGUCUUUGGAUUUGGAAGGCCAUCAGCAUGACUGGAAGGAGAUCUGGUUAGGUUCUUCAAGCAUUGCGGAAAAGGUUGGCCUCAUAGUGGUUGAAGAAGCACAUGUUGAUGCAUUGCUGAGAUGGGUGCUAACAUUAGCUUUUUGUAUGGAUCACAAUUCUUCUUACAAAGAAUAUGAUGAUGGGCUGUUUGGGAAGAAAGAAAUGGCAGGUCUUUUAGCGGGAUUUCCAAAUCAGCAGAUUUUGUUGCUUCCAGAGCUAGAUUUCUAGUUGCUGAAUGGGCAGUUAAUGUAGUAAAUUUGAAGGACUGUAAUUUGCUGUUUUUAGGCUCUUAGUAGUCUGUGUAGCUCCCUCGGCUGUGCAGUCUACUGUUUUUGUGCUCCCUUUCGUUUAUUAUUAUGAUAUGUGACUUUUCGAAAAAAUAAAAUAAAAUGAAUAUGAUGAUGGCCAACAGGUGUCAUAUGUAUAGAAGUGAGGAAUCAGUGGAUCAUCUCAUCUUGCAUUACAAGGCUGUCAGAGUGAUUGGGAUCAGUUAUUUAUUUAUUAUUUUGUGCUUUUCAAGGUCUCGAGUGAGUGGAGGAGAGAUCCGUUUUGAAGCACAGUAGGUGUACUUGGUCACUGAUUCCCUAUGCCAUCAUUUGGGAGAUUUAGAAGAAAGGAAUGCUAGGAUCUUUAAAGACAAAUCAUCUGUUGUCUCCCUCCCUCCCUCCCUCCCUCCCUAGAGAUGAUAGGAUCACUAGGGCGGGCAAUGGGUUGAGUCAGCCCAACAGAUCAAUUGGCCCAACCUGCUUCUUACGCAAGGUUGGGUCAAGCUAAAUAUAUAGUGGAUUGGGCUUGGGUCCAAAAAUGUGGCGCAUUUGUGUAAAUGGAUCUAGCUGUACCUAUAAUGUUUAUCAAUGGGUUGGGGCAGAUGACCUACCUGACUCUGGCCUAAAAUCUGCACCACAUCACAAAUUAAUAGAUGAUGAGUAAUUGAUACGUACAAAUUAUGUAUGUAUGCUCAUAUGCAACCACUAACUGGGCAGGGUUGGGAAACCAGUAACCUUGUAUUACAUUUUUAAACCCAAGGGUGGUCAAAGCUGGGCCUGGCCCUAUGGGGAGGUCGAGCCGGAGCCAGUUAGAAUUAACUGGGUUGGGUCAAUCAAGUUAGGGUUCAAUGGAUUUUAAGUGGGUUGGGUCGGGCCACAGGGUAAUGGGUCAUGGCCUGGGUUCGUGUUGGAAUACUUAGCCAUUUUAGUAAAUGGGUCAGGCUUGGGCCGACCCCCCCACCCCCAGGAACCUGACACGAACCUACCCAUUGCCACCCCCAAGGGUCAACUCGUCUACAGGUCUUGUUUUGCUUGUUUGCUUAUUUUAAUAAAAUGAUAACUUUCUUUUUUCCAAAACAAAAAAAGAAA